GGGAUUCAAAGACCGCCAGCUUUGCUGCUGCGAAUAGUGGUGUCAUCCCACCUCCGACCGCCACCCUUAGUCAACUCAUCAAUAGAUUCCAAGCGCGAGGUCUUUCUGCCAAGGACAUGGUUGCUUUAUCUGGUAUAAUAGACCAUUCUUUCCUCUCCUGCACUGCACUACUUUAUUAUAUCUAUGCAUCUCUUCUAAGCUAAAUUGCUUUAUGGUGCCGACCCAGGGGCUCACACAAUUGGGAAGGCAAGGUGCGUGCUUUUCAGAGAUCGCAUAUACAACGAGACAAACAUCGAUGCUUCAUUUGCGAAGGCAAGGCAAAGUAGCUGCCCAAGAACAAGCGGAUCAGGGGACAACAAUCUAGCACCCCUAGACGUGGCAACCCCAAAUUCUUUUGACUUAAAAUACUUCAAUAACCUCUUAAACAAAAAGGGUUUGCUCCACUCGGACCAAAUACUCUUCAAUGGCGGAUCCACCGAUUCAUUGGUUAAAACAUACAGCAGCAACACCAAGAAGUUCUAUUCAGACUUCGUUACUGCAAUGAUAAAGAUGGGAGAUAUUACCCCACUCACCGGAUCAAAUGGUGAAAUCAGGAAGAAUUGCAGGAAGCCUAAUUAAUGGCUCUUCCUCCAUUGCUUUGCCCCAAUAUCUGAGGACUUGUCUAGUCUACACAGUUUGCUUUUAUUUAUAUGGUCGUAGGAGGUCGGACAGUUACGAAGAAAAAACUGUACUUGCCGUUCGUUAUGAAUCUAACAACAAAAGAAAGAUAAUUGAUUCCAACAAAAUAAAAUCAAGGGGAAAAGAGAAAGCAUGUUAAUGUUUGUUGAGUUCCAGAAGGAACAAUGAUGUGUCUGUUUUGAUGCAAAUUAAUGAAUUUUGUGUUUUCUCUUAGCCCUAGCCAGCUAUUAAGCACAAUGAUACAUUUUUCUUAGAUAUUCAAACAAUCCCACACACACGGAUCAACUGAUACAAGCAACAACAAAGAUGAUCAAGAUUUGCAUGUUUCGAACUUGUUAUGAUAUGGCAAAUAUGUCGGUAAUGGCUUUGUGUCUAAUAUAUUAGAAUGCAUUUUGGAGCAUGUCAGGUUGCAUUUGAGUCUUAUUUUUCUGCAAUUCUAAGUAGGCAUGAGUCUUGAGACAAGACAAACAUGUCUCAAUAUAGGAUGAUGUCUUAAGACAUGAUAAGCAAGUCGAGACAUUUGAAGUCAUCAACUAAAUUAGUUUCAGGGGAGAUUAGUCUUGAGACAUGGUCUUUGUGUCUCAUUGAUACAUUGGCCCAAGUAUAAAGAAUUGGCUCUAGUUUUUAAAAUUUGAGUUUCUAAUUUUAGAAUAGUAAAACAAGAUCUGAUAUAUAGCUUUAAUAAAUUAAAAUCUGUCAUGUCACAUCAUUAAAAAUAAAUCAAGAACAAAAUUAUAUGCGAAAAUAGUUUAUCUCAUUGUUUAACCCUCUAAAGGAGAUGAAAACAAAUACGAGAUAUAUAUCUAUUUCUUGGGUACCACUAUCUCUUUUUAAAUAACUUAUUAUUAAAUCCAUUUUUAGUAUUUAUAAUUUGGCCCCUCAUCGAAUAAUAAAUACAACUUAUGGUAUUUACAUAUUAUUUCCAUGACACUUUAAUACAUGUGACACUUUUAACAUAAUUGGUCACUUAAUUUUAUAUCACACUUUAUAAUAGCAUUAUACAUUAUACAUAUGUGUCCAUAACGUUUUAAGGUCCUUUUGAGCUCAUUCUUCGUUCGUAAUGUUUUAUAGAUAUUGGAUAGAUUAUUUGCAUAAUUAAAACUUCCGUUUAAAUACUUUUUAGAUAUUUGAAUGAUUUAUCAUUGUUGCUUCGACAAGUAACACUCUUUAUUCGAUUUAAUUUUCUAUAUCCAGUAUAAGAUGUUACAAAAUUCUACUUUAUUAUAAUAGUAAUAAGAGAUGGCACCAACCAUCCCAUUAAAUGGAGACUGAAAAAAUAUAAAUUAAAUAAAAGAAUAUUCUUACAAUUCUAGAAAAAAAUUAACUUUGGCUAGAUAAAUGGAAAUUAAUUACUCAUAAUUUUUGUAAAUGCCAAAACAAUAUUAACCAAAGAAAUAUAUUACAAAGCCUCCUCCCACCUUGGGAGAUGCCGAGUUCUUUAUUUAUAAGGACUAAAAAGGAAUUUUACCCUAACUUUCUCCACAAAAUAAUAAAAAUAAGGUAAACUACACAAGUCAAUUUUGUUUGUUUUAUAUUAUAUUUUAUUCACUUUUGUUUUGAAAUGCUAUGUUUUCGUUAUCGCUUUGUUACAAAGUGGUCACUCUACCGUUAAACUCUGUUACUUUCCUAACGGCGGUCUUACAUGGCAACCCAAAUAGGUUUAAAUGCUAACUUGGAUGUCCUACGUGACCGUCCAAAUUAAAUUUAUCUAAUUAAAAACCUAUUUUCAUCCCAACAACUGGAUAUCCAAGUUGGCAUUUAAAACUCAUUUGUACUGUCGUUAGAAAGGUAAUGGAGUUUAACGGUAGAGUGACCACUUCGUAACUAACGAUAACGUAAGUAACUAAAACGUAACAUGUCAAACAUAAGUACUUAAAAUGUAAUCUGAAACAAAUAAAAGUAACUAUUUUUAUAAUUUACCUUAAAAAUAAUAUAAAAAAUAAAAUAAAAUCUCAAAAUGACAAAAUCAUUAAAUAUAAUAUCUAACAUUCAAAGAAAAUCCUAAAUCAUUAAAUACAAAACAAUUGCUUUAUCUCAAAAUAAUUCUAUGAUUAUUAAUGUGAUCCACGUUUUGUCCAAAAUCUUCCAGCAACACACCUACCGUAUUAUUCCCACGCCUUUGUCAAUCAUCGUUCAUGCAUCAACUAGAGAAAUUGGAUCCAAAUCUUAAUAUUUUUGUGACAUUAUUACACUUUUUAAAAAUCAAUAUAAUUUACUAAAUUAGUAAUAAUUAUAUCUCGAUUUUACUAAAAUUAGUAAAAAAAAAACAUGUUAAUAUUGUACGUAUCAAAUCCAAGUAGCCUUCAACUGAGGGCACGGUUCAGCAAUGAACAAAGAUAAGGAUUGAUUGCUCAACAAAAAUAAAUAGAUUUAUAUAAUGUUUAAUUAGUCUAAAGUAUCAAACAAUAUUAAUAUAGAGUAGUUAUGGACGUGGAAAUUUCGAAGCUAAGGGGUCCAUAUGUACCAUAUGAAUAGGCAAGCGGUGCAAGAUUAGACACCUAAACAACCGACCGCUAGCUAACCAUCCCUACAUGUGAUAAGCUUGUCGAUUGAAUUUUAAUUCGAUUCGUAUUAAUAUUAUUAUCAAUGUAGGAAGAUGUAGAUUCGAGUAUGUUAAAACACAUAAUCCUCCUAUUUAUGAAUUAGAGAGGAGUUAUGGGUAGUUCUUAGUAAUAUAGAUCUGAAAUUUAGUCCAUGUAAUUUAUUUUUAGAAAUUCAAGUUCACUAAGUCAUUUUUUUUAAUUAUAUUACUACCAAAUAAGUAUUUUUUUAACUUCACUCCAACCUUAAAUAAAAGGAUAAAUACGCUUCAAACGCACUCGAACUCAUAAAUUGUCUCUUAAAUCGUAUUUCUAAAUCCAUCAAUGAUCAAAGGAUUUAUUAGAAUAUAAAGGCUUAUCUUUUAGAAUCAAUUUAUUCGAAAGAUUUCUUAAUUUUUAUGAAUAAAUAUUUGAUAGUACAAUAAUCUAAUAUUAAAUUUAAGACCAUCAACAUUGAAGGAAUGGCUAUCUAAUAUAUUAUUGCGACAUUGGCUUGCCUUAAAAAAUAAUUAUGCCAUAUAAUUAAUUAUUUUGAUUUUAUUUAAUCAUUAAAAUAUAUUUAUUAUUGAAAUUAUUAUAUUUAAUUUUUAAAUUAAAUAAAUAUUUUUAUAAUCAAAUGGGAAAUAUAUAUAUAUUUUGAAAUGUAAUUACUUACAUUUUAAUUUUACUUAAAUUAUCCAAAUUUGAUAAUUAAUUUUUUAAAAUUGUUUAAAUUAAAAUUUAAAAUAGAUAAUAUAUAUAAAUAAAUAUUUAAGUUAAAUCAAAUGGUUAAUUAUCUAAUUAAUUUUUUUAUUUAAUUAAAUAUUUAUCUAAAAUCUAAAGAUUCUGAUUAUCUAAUUAAAAUUUUAAUAAAAUUUAAUUAUUAAAUAUAAUAAUUAUCCAAAUUAUUAUAUUUAAUUUCUUAUUUAAUUAAAUAAAUAUUUUAUAAUCAAAUGGAUAAUAUACAAAAAAAAUUAUACGUAAAUUGUACUUAUAUUUUAAUUUUACUUAAAUUAUUUAAAAUUUUUAAGUAGAUAAAAAUAAAAAAUAUAGAAAUUUAAAUAAUAAUAAUAAUAAUAAUAAUAAUAAGAUGCAAUACCUGUCCAAUAUCAUGCUUUCGUACUUUGUUAUAUUAUAUUAUAUAUAUUUGAGUCUCUUUUUUUUUUAAUUUGGUACAUGAAUUUAAUUUUAAUGUUCAAUUUGAUAUUUAGACAAAAAAACCUAAUGAAUGAUUGACACAUCUGCUCUAGUAAAAAAAACUUAAGUACUUAAUUAGGACCAAAAAAGCUCAAGUUCAGGUAUUUAAUUGAAAUUAAAAAAAACUUUAAGUACCGAAAUGAAUAUUAAAAUUAAAUUCAAGUAUCAAAUUGAAAGAAAAAAAAACCUUUUGAAUAACUCAAUUUAAACUUAACUAGUUAAGGUGAGGAAAAAAUUAACUAAUUAAUUAAUUAAAAUAAAUAAAUAAAUUUAUAGGUGAUUUAUAUAUGAUGAAAAUAGAAAUUAAACAUUUUUAAUGUUGGUUCUUUGAGUAGAAACAUUUUAUUGCAUAAUUGAAGAUCAUAGAAACACAAGAAAAGUAAAAUUUCCUUUUUUUUCCUUUUGAAAAGUGAAACUGGUAAUAAUCUUAAUAGUAAAAAGGUAACAAUAAGGAGAAAGCAACCACAAAAGUUUAAAUUGAUAAUGUUGGAGAUUGGAUUAGAUAAGUAUGAUAAUCAAUUGAUAAAAAAUUAUCUAAGGGUGUGUUUGGAAAGUUAUUUUAUUGAUAAUCGUUUUCUAAAACAUGUGUUAAUUUCUGUUAUGUUUGGAUGAUUAUAUGUAAAAUAUUUUGCGUUAUUUGAAAAUUUUUACUAGAAUAUUCAUUUUUAAAAGUUGUUCUUAGUGAAAUAAACAUAAUAUAACAUUAUAUUUGUUAUGAAAUAUUAUAAAAGUAUUUUCUUUUAGUAACCGAAGUUCAUUUAUUAUAAUUAUAUUUUAUAUAAACUUAAUAAUAAAUAAUACCUAAUUAAAACUUAAUUUGAAGUUAUGUGUAUGACAUAUAUGCGAGUGGAUAGUAGCACAUUAAAGUUUGAAAGGAUAAAUGAACCUAAGCAUGAUUUAAAUAAAUAGUUAUACUUGUAUUAUUAAAAUAUUCAAAUUUUUACACUAUUAAAUAUUCUAAAUUGUAAUAUAUAAAUAUUUUUCGAUAAAAUAUUAAGAAUAUUAUUUAAAAUUUAAAAUUAUUACUAAUGUUAAAAUAUAUUAUUAAAAUGAAACUGCAAUAUUAAAUAAUUUAUUAAAAUAAGAAAUAAUAUUAAUAAGUUAUUAUAUUAUUAAAUAUAAAUAAUAAAAUAUGCAUGUUUAAUAAUAUAUAAAAAUAUAACAUUUGAUAUUAUAUUUUUAAAAAUUAAAAUUUAUUAAUAAUAUUAUACUUAAUUCAAAUUAAUUUUUAUAUAAAAAUCAAGUUAUCAAGCUCUUUUUGUUUUCGAAAAAUGAGGUACAGGGUUUAUUUUCUGUUGACUCUUCAUUGGUCGAGUUAUUUUUCAUGAAACAAACACGAGAAAAUAUAAAAUACCAUUUUUAAUAAAUUAUUUUCCGUGGAAUAAACAAACCUAAAUUAGUAAUUCGUAAGCACUUCACUUGAUAAUUUGAUAUGAAUAUAAUUACCAAUGUAAUAUUUAGGUAACUAUUACAAAAUUUAGUAUAAUUGAAGUUCACUCACCAUUCUUAUAUGAUUGAGAAUAGGAGUAAAUUAGGAGGUGAUUAAGCAUGAUUACUUUCUCUUUUCUUUUUUAGACUUUUUUUAUUCCACUUUUAAAGAUGGAAAGUUUAAUUCAUGAUAUAGCUCCUAAACUAGAUUAGCUUUUUUAAUUUUGUAUAUCAACUAUCAUUUUCAUUUUAAUUUAUUUUAUCUGAAAGUAAAGUUUUUAAUAAAAAAACAUAGCAUAUGAUACAUAUUGUUAUUGGAUGACGAUAAUCUUUUGUAGCACUUUGAACUAGACCUGAUCAUAGGUCGAGUCACCUGGCCCAGCUCGAAGGCUCUCCCGAAAUGUGAGAGAGUUUGAGUAAAAAUAUAGGCCCGAAAAAUAGAAUUGUACAAAAAAAUAAGGCUUGUUUAAAAAAAGAGCCGGGCCACAGGUAAGGCAUUUUAGCCUGGGCCUGGCCCGAAUUCACUAAAAAAUAAAAAAAUUACUUUUUUUCUUUUGAAUGUUAUUUUCAUUUUGUUUUCCCCCUAUUUUGCUACCAUUUUACUAUUAUGUUGCUACUAUUUUAUUGUUAUUAUUUGGAUAUUAUAUAAAACUUAUUUUAUUAUUAAUUUUGUUAUUAUUUUAAAAGUAUUUGUUAAUUUUGUUAUUAUUUUAAAGGCACUUGUUAAUUUUGUUAUUAUUUUAGAGGCAUUUGCUUGUUAAGUUGUAUUUAUCUUAGUGUUAUUUAAGUUUACAUAUUUUUUAAAAUUUAUUUUCAAUUUGUCAGGAAAUAUUUAUUUUGAUGGUUUUAUUAUUUUUGAUAUAUUAUAUAUAUUUAAAAUUUAUAUAAAAAUAAUAUAAAAAUUUUAAUACAGGUGGGUCAGGUCAGGCCCAAAUUUUAAUAUUUUUAUCCGGGUUGAACUUAAAAAAAAUUUAAGCCCAUUUUUCAAGUUGGGCUAAAUCUAAACUUAAUAAAUAGGCCUAAAUUUUAGUUGAACCCAGCCCAGACCCUGAUGGUGCAAUACAUAAAAACAAAAUCAACAAACAAGUGAUUUAGCAGAGGUGAUAACUUUUUAAAAGGUGACUGAGUGAAUCAAAAUUCAGUCCCCCUAGCCUCUAGCUAUGGCAGUGUCGUCUUCAACGUAAGAGAAUACUCAAAAGGCAUUAAGGAAUCAUGGACCCCAAUGAGUUUGAAAAUUCAAUCGGUUGAUGAAUUGCUGUCAUGGAUUAAUUACUAAUUUGAUUUUUAUAGAUAUACUUUCAUUAAUAAUCUUGUUCUCUACACAUGCCUUAGUGACUUGCCGGUGUCACGGUGCCACAUGCCUAUAUAUAUUAUCCCUAAUGGCUAAUGGUACCACCAUCCAUUCAUCUAAACACCUCUGCACUUUUUUGUCUUCUUCUUAUAAUUUGUCAAGUAUAAUAAUAUAUAAGCAUCUUCAGAGUUGAGAGUAUGGCUUCUUCAUUUGGUGUCUUGUUUGUUGUAGUGGUUUGGAUGAUGAUGGGGAGCAGUAGUUAUGCUCAGCUCUCCACUAAGUUCUACUCUAAAUCAUGUCCAAAGGUGUUGUCUACGGUUGAGUUAGUAGUUAAAACAGCUGUGUCAAAAGAGCAGCGCUUGGGUGCUUCUCUCCUCCGCUUGUUCUUCCAUGACUGUUUUGUCAAUGUAAUUUCCACUCUUUCUCUUUCUAUCUUCUUACUAUAUAUACACAUGGUCACAUAAGCGUAUUCAGUGUUCUUGGUCAACGGAACUUGAGUAAUUUUUUUUUCAUUCCUUUCAAUUUAAUAAUAUAUUGGAGUUUCAUGUUGAAAACCGCCGUCAAAUGUUUAAUCUCAUGUAUAUAUAUUUGGUGUAAUCAAUAUAAAACUCAAUCCAGAAUACCUUUCCAACCAUGCAUGCAUGCAUGCAUGUGUUUUUUUCCCUGCGGACUUAAAGAAAUUCCAUUUGUGGAGCCAAUAUAAGUACUGAUGUAUGAUGAUGAAAUGCCUUUGCACCUUGGCUCAUAUUAAUCUUAACCACUCAAAAAGGGGAAAGGAUUGCAUAUGGAGCAAGUGAAUGACUAAUGAAAUACUUAGUCAGUUAGUAUAUAUGUGUAUAUAUAUAUGGUUAUUAAUUAAGUACGUCCUGUAUUUAUCAUAUCUAAUUAUGACAGGGUUGUGAUGGGUCAGUACUCCUAGACGACACUUCUUCUUUCACCGAGGAGCAAACUGCUACUCCCAAUAAUGGGUCCUUGAGAGGUUUCGAAGUUGUUGAUGAGAUCAAGGCCAAGGUGGAGAAAGUGUGUCCUGGUGUAGUCUCAUGUGCUGAUAUCUUAGCCAUUGCAGCUCGGGACUCCGUUGUUAUUGUAAGCACUUGAAAUGAACAGUCCAACGUACAUACUGCAUAUUAGUAUGUCACCAAAUGAAUAUAGAAAAUUGAGUUUGAUUGGUGCAGCUUGGAGGGCCCGACUGGGAUGUUAAGCUUGGAAGAAGGGAUUCAAAGACCGCCAGCUUUUCUGAUGCAAAUAGUGGUGUCCUCCCACUGGGUAGUGCCAAUCUUAGCCAACUCAUCAGCUUAUUCCAAGCGCAAGGUCUUUCUACCAGGGACAUGGUUGCAUU
rnacentral:lncRNA from 1 species